CUGGGUUGAUCCUCCCAGUAGCAUAUGCUUGUCUCAAAGAUUCAGUCAUACACGUGUAAGUACACACAGCCGGUACAGUGACACCGUGAAAGGCUCAUUGAAUUGGCUCCUUUGUUUGCUCCAUUUCUUACUUGGAUGACUGUGAUAAAUCUACAGUGAAUACAUGCCGACAAACUCCGACCUCCUUGGAUGCGUGCAGUCAUCAGACCAAGACCAAUCCGGACCCAAAUAGCCGCUUUGGUGAUUCUAGCUAAGCUUGGUCAGAUUGCACUCCGUGUGACAGCAAUGAUACAUUCUGAUGUCUGCCCUAUCAACUUCUGAUGGUACUUCUUGUGCCUACCAUGACGCUCACAGGCUACCAUAACCAAGGAAAGCAGCAGGCAUGCAAAUUACACACUCCAGAUUCAGGAAAGUAGUGAUGUAAAUUAAUAAUGCAGCACUCUUUCGUGGCCCUGUAAUUGGAAUGUGUACACUUUAAAAUCUUUAAUGAGGAUUCAUUGGAGGGCAAGUCUGGUGCCAGCAUCUAUGGUAAUUCCAGCUCCAAUAGUGUAUGUUUGAGAUUCUGCACUUAAAAUGCUCAUAGAUGGAUCUUGUGAUUGAUCUGGCGGUCCAUCACAAGGUACACUAAUGCCUGUUGCAGCCCCUGUCUCUCAGUGAGCCAUUGAUGCUCUAGUCUUAGUGUCCUGGGGGUCAUAAGCAUUUACUCUGAAAACCUUACAGUUAUCAAAGCAAGCCGGUCACCUGAAUAUUACAGCUAGGAAUGUUGGAAUAGGACUCUUGUACCAUUUUGCAUUUUUUACAACUGGGACAUAAUUAGGAGGGACAGCUGGGGGCAUUGGUAUUUUGCUGCUAGAGGCAAUAUUCUUUGACCGUUGUACUUCCGGCAAUAUACCAUGCCAAUGCGCGAUUCAGCAGCGUUAUUCCCAUGACCCGAGCAGCUUCUGAGAAACUUAAGUCCUUGGAUUCCGGGGAGUGUAUGGUUGCAAAGCUAGAACUCAAAGGAAUUGAUGGAAGGGCACCACCAGGAGGAGAUUCUGCAACUUAACUUGACUCAACACUGGAAACCUCAACCGGCCUGGACAUGGAAAGGAUUGACAGAUUGAUAGCUCUUUCUCAAUUCUGUGGUUGGUGGUGCAUGGCCGUUUUUAGUUGGUGGAGCGGCUUGUCUGGUUAAUUCUGAUGAUGAACAUGACUUCUCUAUGAUAUCUAGUUAUGCGAACCCGUUAGGUCAGCGUUCACUUAGACAGACAUGUGGUGUUCAGCCACACGAGAUCGAGCAAUACCAGGUCUGUGAUGCCCAUAGAUGUCCAGGGAUCCAUGCACACUCUAUCGAAUGGAUCAACAUGUGUCUACCCUUUGCUGCCUGUUGCGGAUAACCCGCAGAACUUUGUUCAUGAUAGGGAUUGGUGAUUGCAAUUAUUUCCCAUGGACGAGGAAUUCCCAGUAAGUGCAGAUCAUUGGCUCACAUUGAUUAAGUCCCUGCACUUUGUACACACCACACAUUGCUAAUUUCGACUGGAUGUUUAAGUGAGGUGCUCGGAUAAACCCUGCCGGGUUCAGCAAAUGCCCUGAGAGAGCACCAAGAAGCCAAUGAAACUUGACUCUAGAGGAACUUAGAGCUGUAAGAAGGUUUCUGAGGGUGAACCUGCAGAAG
rnacentral:rRNA from 1 species